GCGGCUGUGGCGGAAUGGCAGACGCGCUACUUUGAGGGGGUAGUGAUCUUUCGAUCGUGUGAGUUCAAGUCUCACCAGCCGCA
rfam:Dialister sp. CAG:486 genomic scaffold, scf531